CUGCUGACUUUGAAGGUGGAAGCACGGUGCUAACAUCUGCUUCCUCUUCCGGUUGGCAGA
ensembl:miRNA